CGUCCUAUUAGCUAGUUGGUGAGGUAAUGGCUCACCAAGGCUACGAUGGGUAGGGGUUCUUAGUGGAAGGUCCCCCACACUGGCACUGAGAUACGGGCCAGACUCCUACGGGAGGCAGCAGUAGGGAAUAUUGGUCAAUGGGCGCAAGCCUGAACCAGCCAUGCCGCGUGCAGGAUGAAGGCUCUUUGAGUUGUAAACUGCUUUUGUACAGGAGCAAAAAAAUCCCUGCGGGGGUUCUUGAGAGUACUGUAAGAAUAAGCACCGGCUAAUUCCGUGCCAGCAGCCGCGGUAAUACGGGAGGUGCAAGCGUUAUCCGGUUUUAUUGGGUUUAAAGGGUGCGUAGGCGGCUUAUUAAGUCAGUUGUGAAAUCCUAGUGCUUAACGCUAGAACUGCGAUUGAUACUAUU
rnacentral:rRNA from 1 species